rnacentral:rRNA from 1 species
AAUGAACGUUGGCGGCAGGCCUAACACAUGCAAGUCGAACGGGAUCUUCGGAUCUAGUGGCGGACGGGUGAGUAACGCGUGGGAACGUGCCCUUUGGUUCGGAAUAGCCCUGGGAAACUGGGAGUAAUACCGGAUGUGGUCGAGAGACGAAAGAUUUAUCGCCAAAGGAUCGGCCCGCGUUGGAUUAGGUAGUUGGUGGGGUAAUGGCCUACCAAGCCGACGAUCCAUAGCGGGUUUGAGAGGAUGAACAGCCACACUGGGACUGAGACACGGCCCAGACUCCUACGGGAGGCAGCAGUGGGGAAUCUUAGACAAUGGGGGAAACCCUGAUCUAGCCAUGCCGCGUGAGCGAUGAAGGCCUUAGGGUUGUAAAGCUCUUUCGUGGGGGAAGAUAAUGACUGUACCCCAAGAAGAAGCCCCGGCUAACUCCGUGCCAGCCGCCGCAGUAAAAC